GUCCCAGCCGUAAACGAUGGAUACUAGGUGUUGGGGGUAUCGACCCCUCCAGUGCCGCAGCUAACGCAUUAAGUAUCCCGCCUGGGGAGUACGGCCGCAAGGUUGAAACUCAAAGGAAUUGACGGGGGCCCGCACAAGCGGUGGAGCAUGUUGUUUAAUACGUCACUAACCGUAGAACCUUACCAGGGCUUGACAUCCUACGACCGCCUGUGAAAGCAGGUUUUCGGAGCAAUCCGACGUAGUGACAGGUGUUGCAUGGCUGUCGU
rnacentral:rRNA from 1 species